UACAGAGGGGGCAAGCGUUGUUCGGAAUUACUGGGCGUAAAGGGCGCGUAGGUGGCCGCCUAAGUCGGACGUGAAAUCCCUCGGCUCAACCGGGGAACUGCGUCCGAUACUGGGUGGCUUGAAUCCGGGAGAGGGAUGUGGAAUUCCAGGUGUAGCGGUGAAAUGCGUAGAUAUCUGGAGGAACACCGGUGGCGAAGGCGGCAUCCUGGACCGGAAUUGACGCUGAGGCGCGAAAGCCAGGGGAGCAAACGGG
rnacentral:rRNA from 1 species